rnacentral:misc_RNA from 1 species
UCCGGUUUGUCACCGGCAGUCUCACUAGAGUGCCCUUUCGUAGCAACUAGUGACAAGGGUUGCGCUCGUUGCGGGACUUAACCCAACAUCUCACGACACGAGCUGACGACAGCCAUGCAGCACCUGUGUUACGGCUCCCUUUCGGGCACACCGAACUUUCAUCCGGCUUCCGUACAUGUCAAGGGUAGGUAAGGUUCUUCGCGUUGCAUCGAAUUAAUCCACAUCAUCCACCGCUUGUGCGGGUCCCCGUCAAUUCCUUUGAGUUUUAACCUUGCGGCCGUACUCCCCAGGCGGUCAACUUCACGCGUUAGCUUCGUUACUAAUGGGUUUAACCCCACCAACAACCAGUUGACAUCGUUUAGGGCGUGGACUAC